CCUACGGGGGGCUGCAGUGAGGAAUAUUGGUCAAUGGACGGAAGUCUGAACCAGCCAUGCCGCGUGCAGGAAGACGGCUCUAUGAGUUGUAAACUGCUUUUGUACAAGGGUAAACCUGAAUACGUGUAUUCAGCUGAAAGUACUGUACGAAUAAGGAUCGGCUAACUCCGUGCCAGCAGCCGCGGUAAUACGGAGGAUCCAAGCGUUAUCCGGAUUUAUUGGGUUUAAAGGGUGCGUAGGCGGAUUGGUAAGUUAGAGGUGAAAUGUCCGAGCUUAACUCGGGAACGGCCUCUAAUACUGUUGGACUAGAGAGUAGGUGCGGGAGGCGGAAUGUAUGGUGUAGCAGUGAAAUGCGUAGAGAUCUUGCAGAACACCGAUUGCGAAGGCAGCUUCC
rnacentral:rRNA from 1 species